rnacentral:rRNA from 1 species
GCCUGAUCCAGCAACGCCGCGUGAGGGAUGACGGCCUUCGGGUUGUAAACCUCUUUCAGCGGGGACGAAGCGAAAGUGACGGUACCCGCAGAAGAAGGACCGGCCAACUACGUGCCAGCAGCCGCGGUAAUACGUAGGGUCCGAGCGUUGUCCGGAAUUAUUGGGCGUAAAGGGCUCGUAGGCGGUUUGUCGCGUCGGGAGUGAAAACUCAGGGCUCAACCCUGAGCGUGCUUCCGAUACGGGCAGACUAGAGGUAUGCAGGGGAGAACGGAAUUCCUGGUGUAGCGGUGGAAUGCGCAGAUAUCAGGAGGAACACCGGUGGCGAAGGCGGUUCUCUGGGCAUUACCUGACGCUGAGGAGCGAAAGCAUGGGGAGCGAACAGGAUUAGAUACCCUGGUAGUCCAUGCCGUAAACGUUGGGCGCUAGGUGUGGGGACCUUCCACGGUCUCCGUGCCGCAGCUAACGCAUUAAGCGCCCCGCCUGGGGAGUACGGCCGCAAGGCUAAAACUCAAAGGAAUUGACGGGGGCCCGCACAAGCGGCGGAGCAUGCUGAUUAAUUCGAUGCAACGCGAAGAACCUUACCUGGGUUUGACAUAUGCCGGAAAGCUGCAGAGAUGUAGCCCCCCUUGUGGU